UGGGGAAUAUUGGACAAUGGGGGCAACCCUGAUCCAGCCAUGCCGCGUGUGUGAAGAAGGCCUUUUGGUUGUAAAGCACUUUAAGCAGGGAGGAGAGGCUAAUGGUUAAUACCCAUUAGAUUAGACGUUACCUGCAGAAUAAGCACCGGCUAACUCUGUGCCAGCAGCCGCGGUAAUACAGAGGGUGCGAGCGUUAAUCGGAACUACUGGGCGUAAAGCGAGUGUAGGUGGCUCAUUAAGUCACAUGUGAAAUCCCCGGGCUUAACCUGGGAACUGCAUGUGAUACUGGUGGUGCUAGAAUAUGUGAGAGGGAAGUAGAAUUCCAGGUGUAGCGGUGAAAUGCGUAGAGAUCUGGAGGAAUACCGAUGGCGAAGCAGCUUCCUGGCAUAAUAUUGACACUGAGAUUCGAAAGCGUGGGUAGCAAACAGGAUUAGAUACCCUGGUAGUCCACGCCGUAAACGAUGUCUACUAGCCGUUGGGUCCUUGAGACUUUAGUGGCGCAGUUAACGCGAUAAGUAGACCGCCUGGGGAGUACGGCC
rnacentral:rRNA from 1 species